GCAAGCGAAGGUCACGAUAAGGGUAAUCCGUGAAUGUCCCAUUUUUCAUACUUGUGGGUGACGACAUCGAUUGGGGGUUCGACUCCCUCCGCUUGCA
rnacentral:tRNA from 1 species